AUUGAACGCUGGCGGCGUGCCUAAUACAUGCAAGUCGAACGCACAGCGAAAGGUGCUUGCACCUUUCAAGUGAGUGGCGAACGGGUGAGUAACACGUGGACAACCUGCCUCAAGGCUGGGGAUAACAUUUGGAAACAGAUGCUAAUACCGAAUAAAACUCAGUGUCGCAUGACACAAAGUUAAAAGGCGCUUUGGCGUCAGCUAGAGAUGGAUCCGCGGUGCAUUAGUUAGUUGGUGGGGUAAAGGCCUACCAAGACAAUGAUGCAUAGCCGAGUUGAGAGACUGAUCGGCCACAUUGGGACUGAGACACGGCCCAAACUCCUACGGGAGGCUGCAGUAGGGAAUCUUCCACAAUGGGCGAAAGCCUGAUGGAGCAACGCCGCGUGUGUGAUGAAGGCUUUCGGGUCGUAAAGCACUGUUGUAUGGGAAGAACAGCUAGAAUAGGGAAUGAUUUUAGUUUGACGGUACCAUACCAGAAAGGGACGGCUAAAUACGUGCCAGCAGCCGCCGUAA
rnacentral:rRNA from 1 species